AUGGACUUGAAACAUGCAUACCAAGAAAAUAGGGGACUUGAAACAUGCAUACCAAGAAAAUUGGGACUGGCUCUCCAAGUAGAGAUCACUUCUCUGUUUGGUGGUUCCUCGAAGCUACUUCACUUGCCUUAAGUCUUAUCCCAUACACUGGAACAGCAAUACAUUCGGGUUAGGUCCACUCAAGCUGCACAACAAAGCAGGGUCCUGUUGAGUCUAACGCGAAGACAGUAACUAAACUGUAGAUGUUGAUAGCGUAUCAUUGGAUGAGAACACGUUGAAGCAAGAUCUCGAGGCUGAGAUACAUGAAGAAAACUACGUGGAGGCAGCUAAGAUCCGGGACAUACUAAAAGAGCUUCAAGAAUACAACAAAGCCUCUGUUUUGUCUGCCAACACUCGGUUCUACCAAGCUUUCAGAAACGGGGAUUUAGCUGAGAUGGAAUCUUUAUGGUCCAAAUCUGGAAAGCCCUGUUGUGUGGAUGAACUACGAGUUCCCGUUACGGAUUGAGCUGAAAGAUGUUGAGGCUCAUGUACGAGGGGAAGUAGGUUAUGUAACGAGUAUGGAGUUUGUGAAGACUAAAGGGAGUAGUAGCUGGGGAGCUCAGUUUGUGUCGAAUGUGUUUGAACGGAUAGAUGGGCAGUGGUUUAUAUGCAUUCGCCAUGCUUCUCCUGUUGAUAUUUGAUCUAAGAACCCGACGAAAUGGUACACAAGUUCUGACGUUUGAUGUUGUUGUGUUUGU